GCGACUAAGCGUACACGGUGGAUGCCCUGGCAGUCAGAGGCGAUGAAGGGCGUACUAAUCUGCGAUAAGCGCCGGUAAGGUGAUAUGAACCGUUAUAACCGGCGAUACCCGAAUGGGGAAACCCAGUGUGAUUCGUCACACUAUCAUUAACUGAAUCCAUAGGUUAAUGAGGCGAACCGGGGGAACUGAAACAUCUAAGUACCCCGAGGAAAAGAAAUCAACCGAGAUUCCCCCAGUAGCGGCGAGCGAACGGGGAGGAGCCCAGAGCCUGAAUCAGCAUGUGUGUUAGUGGAAGCGUCUGGAAAGGCGCGCGAUACAGGGUGACAGCCCCGUACACAAAAGCGCAUGUGCUGUGAGCUCGAUGAGUAGGGCGGGACACGUGGUAUCCUGUCUGAAUAUGGGGGGACCAUCCUCCAAGGCUAAAUACUCCUGACUGACCGAUAGUGAACCAGUACCGUGAGGGAAAGGCGAAAAGAACCCCGGCGAGGGGAGUGAAAAAGAACCUGAAACCGUGUACGUACAAGCAGUGGGAGCACCCUUUGGGUGUGACUGCGUACCUUUUGUAUAAUGGGUCAGCGACUUAUAUUCUG
rnacentral:rRNA from 1 species